AUUGAACGCUGGCGGCAUGCCUUACACAUGCAAGUCGAACGGCAGCGCGGGGCAACCUGGCGGCGAGUGGCGAACGGGUGAGUAAUAUAUCGGAACAUACCCUAGAGUGGGGGAUAACGUAGCGAAAGUUACGCUAAUACCGCAUACGCACUAAGGUGGAAAGUGGGGGAUUCGCAAGAACCUCAUGCUCAUGGAGUGGCCGAUAUCUGAUUAGCUAGUUGGUGAGGUAAAGGCUCACCAAGGCAACGAUCAGUAGCUGGUUUGAGAGAACGACCAGCCACACUGGAACUGAGACACGGUCCAGACUCCUACGGGAGGCAGCAGUGGGGAAUUUUUGGGACAAAUGGGGGGCAACCCUGAUCCAGCAAUGCCGCGUGAGUGAAGAAGGCCUCGGUUGUAAG
rnacentral:rRNA from 1 species